AAGGCUUUAAGUUAAUUAAACUAUUAUCCUUCAAAGUUAGAAAUAUAAUUUGUUAUAAGUCUUA
rnacentral:tRNA from 1 species